ACGCUGGCGGCGUGCCUAAUACAUGCAAGUAGAACGCUGAAGAGGGGAGCUUGCUCUUCUUGGAUGAGUUGCGAACGGGUGAGUAACGCGUAGGUAACCUGCCUUGUAGCGGGGGAUAACUAUUGGAAACGAUAGCUAAUACCGCAUAACAAUGGAUGACACAUGUCAUUUAUUUGAAAGGGGCAAUUGCUCCACUACAAGAUGGACCUGCGUUGUAUUAGCUAGUAGGUGAGGUAACGGCUCACCUAGGCGACGAUACAUAGCCGACCUGAGAGGGUGAUCGGCCACACUGGGACUGAGACACGGCCCAGACUCCUACGGGAGGCAGCAGUAGGGAAUCUUCGGCAAUGGGGGCAACCCUGACCGAGCAACGCCGCGUGAGUGAAGAAGGUUUUCGGAUCGUAAAGCUCUGUUGUAAGUCAAGAACGAGUGUGAGAGUGGAAAGUUCACACUGUGACGGUAGCUUACCAGAAAGGGACGGCUAACUACGUGCCAGCAGCCGCGGUAAUACGUAGGUCCCGAGCGUUGUCCGGAUUUAUUGGGCGUAAAGCGAGCGCAGGCGGUUUGAUAAGUCUGAAGUUAAAGGCUGUGGCUCAACCAUAGUUCGCUUUGGAAACUGUCAAACUUGAGUGCAGAAGGGGAGAGUGGAAUUCCAUGUGUAGCGGUGAAAUGCGUAGAUAUAUGGAGGAACACCGGUGGCGAAAGCGGCUCUCUGGUCUGUAACUGACGCUGAGGCUCGAAAGCGUGGGGAGCGAACAGGAUUAGAUACCCUGGUAGUCCACGCCGUAAACGAUGAGUGCUAGGUGUUGGAUCCUUUCCGGGAUUCAGUGCCGCAGCUAACGCAUUAAGCACUCCGCCUGGGGAGUACGACCGCAAGGUUGAAACUCAAAGGAAUUGACGGGGGCCCGCACAA
rnacentral:rRNA from 1 species